rnacentral:lncRNA from 1 species
GGAUGGACAGCUCUCAUAUGUCUUGCAAAUGGUCCAGUCCCUCCUAAAUUUCCUUCGGUCAAUUAUUGAAAAGUUUCGUUACAAAAUUUGCACUUAACACUAUUAGUACCUUCUAUUAUUAAAUCCAUACCAGACUUCUUCUUUUACGAUUAGAAGUCGGGUCAUUACUAUUAUUACCAAAAGCUACAGGACUAGCAUCAUUAAACAUAUUGUAAAAAU